UUGACCUCGGAUCAGGUAGGGAUACCCGCUGAACUUAAGCAUAUCAAUAAGCGGAGGAAAAGAAACCAACAGGGAUUGCCCCAGUAACGGCGAGUGAAGCGGCAAAAGCUCAAAUUUGAAAUCUGGCUCCGCUCCGGGGUCCGAGUUGUAAUUUGCAGAGGAUGCUUUGGGUGCACCCGUGGCGUAAGUCCCCUGGAACGGGGCGUCAUAGAGGGUGAGAAUCCCGUCUUGAGUCGCUGGCGUGCGCCCGUGCAAAGCUCCUUCGACGAGUCGAGUUGUUUGGGAAUGCAGCUCUAAUUGGGUGGUAAAUUUCAUCUAAAGCUAAAUACUGGCCGGAGACCGAUAGCGAACAAGUAGAGUGAUCGAAAGGUUAAAAGCACCUUGAAAAGGGAGUUAAAUAGCACGUGAAAUUGUUGAAAGGGAAGCGCUUGCCGCCAGACUCGGGCGCGGAGGCUCAGCGGGCAUGUUUGCCCGUGUACUCCUGCGCGCCCGGGCCAGCAUCAGUUUUGGCGGCCGGUCAAAGGCCUCCGGGAUGUAUCGUCCUCCGGGACGUCUUAUAACCGGGGGGUGCAAUGCGGCCAGCCCGGGACUGAGGAACGCGCUCCGGCACGGAUGCUGGCGUAAUGGCGGUAAGCGGCCCGUCUUGAAACACGGACCAAGGAGUCUAACAUCCACGCGAGUGUUCGGGUGUCAAACCCGUGCGCGCAGUGAAAGCGAACGGAGGUGAGAGCCCGCAAGGGUGCAUCAUCGACCGAUCCUGAAGUCUUCGGAUGGAUUUGAGUAAGAGCGUGGCUGCUGGGACCCGAAAGAUGGUGAACUAUGCCUGAAUAGGGUGAAGCCAGAGGAAACUCUGGUGGAGGCUCGCAGCGGUUCUGACGUGCAAAUCGAUCGUCAAAUUUGGGUAUAGGGGCGAAAGACUAAUCGAACCAUCUGGUAGCUGGUUCCUGCCGAAGUUUCCCUCAGGAUAGCAGUAGUGAGUUCAGUUUUAUGAGGUAAAGCGAAUGAUUAGAGGCUCGGGGGUUGAAACAACCUUCACCUAUUCUCAAACUUUAAAUAUGUAAGAAGUC
rnacentral:rRNA from 2 species